UCCGUUCGAAAGCGCGCUGACCGUGGAUACUGCGUCCGGCACGGGCGCCUCAUCCACCCCGUGUUGUACCGACCCGCCCAGUGGUCCCCUUGGGCGGGUC
rnacentral:sRNA from 1 species